AUGUCUUCUCCAAGCUGCCGCUUGAUGUCAACUUCAUCGGCCACACUAGCAACAUCGGAUGGAAGGAGUAGGUUUCAGAGGGCGAAGCCAGUCAUCAUUGACCUGGGGCUCUACUUGAAGAAGGCGGACGUGUUUUGGAUGCCACAGUGUUGGACCGUGCCAACAACCUUCAAGCUCUUAACUGAUAAUAAGCCAUCAGUCUCUAAACACUAG
rnacentral:rRNA from 1 species